rnacentral:rRNA from 1 species
UACGAAGGGGGCUAGCGUUGUUCGGAAUUACUGGGCGUAAAGGGCGCGUAGGCUGUGCUGUAAGUCAGGCGUGAAAUCCCCGGGCUCAACCUGGGAAUUGCGCAUGAUACUGCGGCGCUUGAAGACGGGAGAGGAUGGCGGAAUUCUUAGUGUAGAGGUGAAAUGCGUAGAUAUUGGGAAGAACACCGGUGGCGAAGGCGGCCUUCUGGACAGUGACUGACGCUGAGACGCGAAAGCGUGGGGAGCAAACAGG